AGAGUUUGAUCCUGGCUCAGAGCGAACGCUGGCGGCAGGCCUAACACAUGCAAGUCGAACGGAUCCUUCGGGAUUAGUGGCGGACGGGUGAGUAACACGUGGGAACGUGCCUUUGGUUCGGAACAACUCAGGGAAACUUGAGCUAAUACCGAAUGUGCCCUUCGGGGGAAAGAUUUAUCGCCAUUAGAGCGGCCCGCGUCUGAUUAGCUAGUUGGUGAGGUAAAAGGCUCACCAAGGCUACGAUCAGUAGCUGGUCUGAGAGGAUGAUCAGCCACAUUGGGACUGAGACACGGCCCAAACUCCUACGGGAGGCAGCAGUGGGGAAUCUUGCGCAAUGGGCGAAAGCCUGACGCAGCCAUGCCGCGUGAAUGAUGAAGGUCUUAGGAUUGUAAAAUUCUUUCACCGGGGACGAUAAUGACGGUACCCGGAGAAGAAGCCCCGGCUAACUUCGUG
rnacentral:rRNA from 1 species